GAGCAAUCCGCCUUAUGAGCAGCCUGCGGCAGAUUAGCUAGUUGGUAAGGUAAUGGCUUACCAAGGCUACGAUCUGUAACCGACCUGAGAGGGUGGUCGGUCACACUGACACUGAAUAACGGGUCAGACUCCUACGGGAGGCAGCAGUCGGGAAUUUUGGGCAAUGGGCGAAAGCCUGACCCAGCAACGCCGCGUGAAGGAUGAAGUAUUUCGGUAUGUAAACUUCGUAAGAAUAGGAAGAAUAAAUGACGGUACUAUUUGUAAGGUCCGGCUAACUACGUGCCAGCAGCCGCGGUAAUACGUAGGGACCAAGCGUUGUUCGGAUUUACUGGGCGUAAAGGGCGCGUAGGCGGCGUGGUAAGUCAGCUGUGAAAUCUCCGAGCUAAACUCGGAACGGUCAGCUGAUACUGCUGUGCUAGAGUACAGAAAGGGCAAUC
rnacentral:rRNA from 1 species